CGCCGCCUCGUCGGCGCACCGGCGCUCUCGUGUUUCUGUAAAGCGGCAGCUCUACUCAGAACCGGCUGAAGGCCGAACCUUGUGAAGGUCACGGCCGCUGCGCGGCGCUCGGCCGGCUCACGUGGGGGACGAAUGCAGACGAAUGGCCGGUUCGUCAGUGGUCUGUGCCUUUGUGUUUGUUUUUAUGUAGAAUAUCAACGGCGUUGUGCUAAUGGCGCUUAUACGAGGUCGAAGUUGGUGCGACCAAGAACCCGUUUUGCACGCUGAGACUUCGCAUGGGAGGCAAAACUUGUCGUUACGGCACCACGGCAGUAAAUACAGCCCGUUCGACGACAACUCCCCGUCUCUGCAAACGGCGUGCGAACAGAAAGUGAUGAUCCAGCAACUCAAUGUGACAGUGCCGCCCCUAAAUCUGUUAGUAGACCCACUCAAUGUAAUGGUGCCGCCC